rnacentral:rRNA from 1 species
UACGUAGGGUGCGAGCGUUAAUCGGAAUUACUGGGCGUAAAGCGUGCGUAGGUGGUUCGUUGUGUCUGUGGUGAAAGCCCCGGGCUUAACCUGGGAACUGCGUUUGAAACUGGGGGGCUAGAGUGUGGAAGAGGGGGGUGGAAUUCCAGGUGUAGCGGUGAAAUGCGUAGAUAUCGGAAGGAACACCUGUGGCGAAAGCGGCUCACUGGACCAUAACUGACGCUGAGGCGCGAAAGCUAGGGGAGCAAACAGG